GAUGAACGCUGGCGGCGUGCCUAAUACAUGCAAGUCGAGCGAACGGAUGAGAAGCUUGCUUCUCUGAUGUUAGCGGCGGACGGGUGAGUAACACGUGGAUAACCUACCUAUAAGACUGGGAUAACUUCGGGAAACCGGAGCUAAUACCGGAUAAUAUUUUGAACCGCAUGGUUCAAAAGUGAAAGACGGUUUUGCUGUCACUUAUAGAUGGAUCCGCGCUGCAUUAGCUAGUUGGUAAGGUAACGGCUUACCAAGGCAACGAUGCGUAGCCGACCUGAGAGGGUGAUCGGCCACACUGGAACUGAGACACGGUCCAGACUCCUACGGGAGGCAGCAGUAGGGAAUCUUCCGCAAUGGGCGAAAGCCUGACGGAGCAACGCCGCGUGAGUGAUGAAGGUCUUCGGAUCGUAAAACUCUGUUAUUAGGGAAGAACAUAUGUGUAAGUAACUGUGCACGUCUUGACGGUACCUAAUCAGAAAGCCACGGCUAACUACGUG
rnacentral:rRNA from 1 species